GCCGAGCCCAGGCCUGCACCCUAGGCAGGCACUGCUCCGUGAUCCAGGAACCACCUCUCUCUACAGCUGGGAGUGAGCAGUCAGAGAGGGAGACAGCCUUGCCCGGUGCUACCCAGCAAGCUAGUCACCGAGUGGGCAGAGGGAGGAGCGGCCCUCACCGGAUGUCAAGCAGCCUGGGUCCCCAGUCCAGCUCUGCCUGUCCCUCGCAAUAACGCCUCAGAUGGGGAAACUGAAGCCCAAUGUCACGGAGGUAGGAAGGGGCAGACGUAGACUUGGAAGGAUUCUGUGGCCUGUUCGAGGUUCCGUGCAUGAGCCGUGCUCCGUGGAGAGCCAGGUCUACCGUUCCAGCCUUUGCUCUCCCAGGCCCCUGGCUGUCCAUGUCCCACACCACCCUGACACCUGAUACUUGACACCCGUGUCACCAACAGCUACAGUGCACCACGGCCUUGGAACACCGCACUCAGUGCUCUGCCUGGAUGAGCCCUGUACCCCCAUGACGACCCCACUGUGGACAUUCUUAUGUCCAUUUUACAGAUGACGAAACUGAGACGGGCGGAUGCAGUGUUGUGCACAAGCCACACAGCUGGAAACGUGGGCUGGGGACUGGAACCCAAUUACCCGCUUUGGCUCUAUAAUCCUCUUUUUAUUUUUAUUUAAUUUUUUUAUGAGAUGGAGUGUAGCUCUGUCGCACAGGCUGGAGUGCAGUGACACGAUCUCAGCUCACUGUAACCUCUGCCUCUCGGGUUCAACCCAUUCUUGUGUCUCAGCCUCCCAAGAAGCUGGGAUUACAGUUGUGUGUCACCACGCCUGGCUAAUUUUUUGUAUUUUUAGUAGAGAUGGGGUUUCCCCAUGUUGGUCAGGCUGGUCUCGGACUCCUGACCUCAGGUGAUCUGCCCACCUCUACCUCCCAAAGUGCUGGGAUUACAGGCAUGAGCCACCGUGCCCGGCCCUUUAAUCCUCUUUUUAAAACACCUUAGGAUAUGAUAUAUCCAGAAUAGGCAAAUCCAUAGACACAGAAUGCAGAUCCGUGUGCCAGUGGCUAGGGGGUGAAGAGGAACUGCUGAAUGAGCGGGCGUUUCCUCCUGGGGUGACCAGCAUGUUCUGCGACUGCAGAUGAUGGCUGUGCCACCUUGUGAGGGUACUAAAUGCCGCCGAAUGGUACACCUUAAACUGGUUGAUUUUAUGUUAUAUGAACUUCCCUUCCAUACAUUAUUUGAGGCUGGGCACGGUGGCUCACACCUGUUAUCCCAACACUUUUGGAGGCCGAGAUGGGUGGAUCAUCUGAGGUCAGGAGUUUGAGACCAGCCUGACCAAAAUGGUGAAACCCCGUCUCUACUAAAAAUACAAAAAAAUUAGCUGGGUGUGGUGGCGCAUGCCUGUAAUCCCAGCUACUCAGGAGGCUGAGGCAGGAUAAUCGCUUGAAUCCGGGAGGCAGAGAUUGCAGUGGGCCUAGAUCGUGCCAUUGUACUCCUGCCUAGGUGACAGAGCAAGACUCCGCCUCAAAAAUAAAAAAUAAAAAAUAAAUUAUUUGGAAAAAAAA
rnacentral:lncRNA from 1 species